CUUCAACACACUAACAUGAAGGACCUUGUGGAUUUUACACCAUGAAGGGAGUUCAACUCUGUAUGCAACUCUUCCAAUCCUCUUCACAAUAGGUAAUGGUCCAAUGUAUUUUGGUGACAAUCUUGAGUCCUUCCCUCUUGUUGGUUUGUAAACAUUUCUGUCGGGAAGCUUAACCAUUACCAGAUCUCCAACAUUGAAUUCAAUAAAACGGCGCUUUAGAUCUGCAGCCUUUUUAUACCAUUUUUGAGCUUUUUCAAGAUAACUCCGAGCAAUUUCAAUAUUUCGUUUCCACUCUUGAGAAAAGCUCUUUGCUUGAGGGGACUUGGUACUUCGUUCGAUAUCCACUGUAUGAGGGAGUAGCGGUUGCUGGCCAGUAACAAUCUCAAAAGGACUCUUAUUGGUGGAAGAGCUCUUUUGGGCAUUGAAGCAAAUUUGGGCCGCAUCCAAAAGUUUUACCCAGUUUUU
rnacentral:lncRNA from 1 species